GAAAUGCGAUAAGUAAUGUGAAUUGCAGAAUUCAGUGAAUCAUCGAAUCUUUGAACGCACCUUGCGCCCCCUGGCAUUCCGGGGGGCAUGCCUGUCCGAGCGUCAUUGCUGCCCUUCAAGCCCGGCUUGUGUGUUGGGUCGUCGUCCCCUCCGGGGGACGGGCCCGAAAGGCAGCGGCGGCACUGCGUCCGGUCCUCGAGCGUAUGGGGCUUUGUCACCCGCUCGAUAAGGACCGGCCGGGCGCCAGCCGGCGUCUCCAACCUUUUUUUCUCAGGUUGACCUCGGAUCAGGUAGGGAUACCCGCUGAACUUAAGC
rnacentral:misc_RNA from 1 species